ACUCCUACGGGAGGCAGCAGUAGGGAAUCUUCCGCAAUGGACGAAAGUCUGACGGAGCAACGCCGCGUGAGUGAUGAAGGUUUUCGGAUCGUAAAGCUCUGUUGUUAGGGAAGAACAAGUGCCGUUCAAAUAGGGCGGCACCUUGACGGUACCUAACCAGAAAGCCACGGCUAACUACGUGCCAGCAGCCGCGGUAAUACGUAGGUGGCAAGCGUUGUCCGGAAUUAUUGGGCGUAAAGGGCUCGCAGGCGGUUUCUUAAGUCUGAUGUGAAAGCCCCCGGCUCAACCGGGGAGGGUCAUUGGAAACUGGGGAACUUGAGUGCAGAAGAGGAGAGUGGAAUUCCACGUGUAGCGGUGAAAUGCGUAGAGAUGUGGAGGAACACCAGUGGCGAAGGCGACUCUCUGGUCUGUAACUGACGCUGAGGAGCGAAAGCGUGGGGAGCGAACAGGAUUAGAUACCCUGGUAGUCCACGCCGUAAACGAUGAGUGCUAAGUGUUAGGGGGUUUCCGCCCCUUAGUGCUGCAGCUAACGCAUUAAGCACUCCGCCUGGGGAGUACGGUCGCAAGACUGAAACUCAAAGGAAUUGACGG
rnacentral:rRNA from 2 species